rnacentral:rRNA from 1 species
CUUUACAAUGCUGGCAACAGCGAUAAGGGAACCUCGAGUGCCAGGUUACAAAUCUGGCUGUCGAGAUGCCUAAAAAGCAUUUCAUAGCAAGGGCCGGGCAAGACCGGUGCCAGCCGCCGCGGUAACACCGGCGGCUCGAGUGGUAACCGUUAUUAUUGGGUCUAAAGGGUCUGUAGCCGGCCGGAUAAGUCUCUUGAGAAAUCUGGCAGCUUAACUGUCAGGCUUUCAGGAGAUACUGUCUGGCUCGAGGCCGGGAGAGGUGAGAGGUACUUCAGGGGUAGGGGUGAAAUCUUGUAAUCCUUGAAGGACCACCAGUGGCGAAGGCGUCUCACCAGAACGGACCUGACGGCAAGGGACGAAAGCUAGGGGCACGAACCGGAUUAGAUACCCGGGUAGUCCUAGCCGUAAACGAUACUCGCUAGGUGUCGGCCACGGUGCGACCGUUGUCGGUGCCGUAGGGAAGCCGUGAAGCGA